CUGGCGGCAUGCUUAACCUUUGCGUCUCGACGAGCUCUUUCGGAACUUUGUGGCACACGGGUGAGUAACGCGUGAGAACCUGCCUCUCGGAGGGGGAUAUCAGUCGGGAAACUGCUGCUACUACCCCAUAUGCCUCAGGGUGUAAAAGAUAUUUUGCCUUGAGGGAGGGGCUCUCCGUCCGAUUAGCUAUUUGGGGAGGUAAGAGCUUACCAAGGCGCACGAUUCGUUAGCUGUGUCUGAAAGGAUGACCAGCCCCACUGGGACUGAAACCCCGGCCCAAACUCCUACGGGAGGCAGCAGUGGGGAAUUUUCCGCAAUGGGCGAAAGCCUGAUCCGACACAUCUCCGCGUGGUGGAAGAAGGCCUUUGGGUUGUAAACUCCUUUUCUCAGGGAAGAAGAUACUGACGGUACCUGAGGAAUCAGCCUCGGAUAUCUCCGUGCCAGCAGCCGCGGUAAUACGGAGGAUGCAAGCGUUAUCCGGAAUUAUUGGGCGUAAAGCGUUCGUAGGCGGCGUUGCAAGU
rnacentral:rRNA from 1 species